rnacentral:misc_RNA from 1 species
GAUGAAGAACGUAGCGAAAUGCGAUACGUAGUGUGAAUUGCAGAAUUCAGUGAAUCAUCGAAUCUUUGAACGCACAUUGCGCCCGCCAGUAUUCUGGCGGGCAUGCCUGUUCGAGCGUCAUUUCAACCAUCAAGCCCCAGGCUUGUGUUGGAGCCCUGCGGCUGCCGCAGCCUCCCAAAACCAGUGGCGGGCUCGCUAUCACACCGAGUGCAGUAGUUUACUCUUCGCUCAGGGCGUGUGGCGGGUGCUAGCCGUAAAACCCCCAACUUCUCAAGGUUGACCUCGGAUCAGGUAGGAAUACCCGCUGAACUUAAGCAUAUCAAUAAGCGGAGGA